rnacentral:rRNA from 1 species
CCUACGGGGGGCUGCAGUGGGGAAUAUUGGACAAUGGGCGAAAGCCUGAUCCAGCCAUGCCGCGUGUGUGAAGAAGGCCUUCGGGUUGUAAAGCACUUUCAGUGGGGAAGAAAGCCUUGGGGCUAAUACCCUCGAGGAAGGACUUCACCCACAGAAGAAGCACCGGCUAACUCCGUGCCAGCAGCCGCGGUAAUACGGAGGGUGCGAGCGUUAAUCGGAAUUACUGGGCGUAAAGCGCGCGUAGGCGGUCUGAUAAGCCGGUUGUGAAAGCCCCGGGCUCAACCUGGGAACGGCAUCCGGAACUGUCAGGCUAGAGUGCAGGAGAGGAAGGUAGAAUUCCCGGUGUAGCGGUGAAAUGCGUAGAGAUCGGGAGGAAUACCAGUGGCGAAGGCGGCCUUCUGGACUGACACUGACGCUGAGGUGCGAAAGCGUGGGUAGCAAACAGGAUUAGAUACCCGGUAGUC